AUUGAACGCUGGCGGCAUGCCUAACACAUGCAAGUCGAACGGGGCAGCAAUGCCUAGUGGCGGACGGGUGAGGAAUACGUAGGAAUCUGCCCUUAAGUGGGGGAUAACCAGGGGAAACCCUGACUAAUACCGCAUGAUCUCUUCGGAGCAAAGAGGGGGACCGCAAGGCCUCUCGCUUCUGGAUGAGCCUACGUCUGAUUAGCUAGUUGGUAGGGUAAAGGCCUACCAAGGCGACGAUAAGGAACUGGUCUGAGAGGAUGAUCGGUCACACCGGAGCUGAGACACGGUCCGGACUCCUACGUGAGGCAGAAGUGGGGAAUAUUGGACAGUGGGCGCAAGCCUGAUCCAGCAAUGCCGCGUGUGUGAAGAAGGCCUUCGGGUUGUAAAGCACUUUAGCCUGGAAAGAAAAAACUUUGGUUAACACCCAAAGUCUUGACGGUACCAGGAGAAUAAGCACCGGCUAACUCUGUGCCAGCCGCCGCGGUAAGAC
rnacentral:rRNA from 1 species